AAGAGAUCUGCUCUGAGUUUGUCAAUGAGCUGUUUAAAUGAAACCUGUCCCUGCUGCAGGGACUCGAGCUCCAGGUCCAGCGGGCACACAGAGCAUUGAUCCCAAAGCCAGCUUCUACCUCUUUGCCGAGAUCAAUAAUUGUUAACUUUCUGGAGUCUCACGUUAAGGAGUUGGUCCUAAGGAAGGUGUGGCAGCAGAAGAUUGAGAAUUCUGGUAAAAGACUUUGACAACGACUAUGCGAUAGACCUCAUGGAGAGGCACAAGUCAUAUGGACCCAUCAAAGCAGCACUGAAGGAAAAGGGGAUCCGGUACCAGACCCUUACACAAAGAUGCAGGUAUACUGGGACUCUGGGGCUGGUGAUAUACAGCACAGCGGAGUAGGCAGCACAGGACCUGAACCAACGCGGAAUCAAGGUGAAGGUGAUAACCAAAGCGAACAGCGCGGCGACAGUGGAGGAGUGACUGAAUGCACCACCACCAACGGCGCAGCUCAGCAUGCGAGGGAGAGGCUGACAGAGUUCAGACGAGACACAGACCGAGGGAGCUGCAUUGGAUGAAAAGAUAAGAGCUACGACGCCAGGUGAACUCAAAGAUUAUUAUUUUUCUUGGUUAAAAAGGACAUUUACUUUUGUUCUUUUGAGUGUUACUCUAAUACACACGAAUCUGGGUCAUAAAAUAUAUAAUGACUCACAACUUAAGUUUAUACAUCAGUAAAACCGAUAAGAGGGAGUGAUUUGUAGCAAGCACCAAAUGUUGGACAAUUCUAGUAUUCGUGGAAUUUUUCUCAUGACCAGGGAGGGUCCCCACCACAGUGAGGCACCAAACCUUCCUCCCACAAGGGAUGGAUAAGUACAUCUCUUUUUUGGAACCCACAUUGUUUAGUGUUUAAUUGUUGUUCUUUGGUUAAGUUGUCUAUGUUCAGAGCUGGGUUGCCUCACAAACACAUUAGAAAUGAUAGAGUAUAAUACUUAUAUACUCUUGUUGAAUGUUAAUAGUUUAAAUAACCUGGUAAAACAUCUGAAGAUAAUGACUAAAUUAAAGGAUAGGUCAUGUUGUGUCUGGUCUGUCUGUGAUGUGUAGAUGCAGAAGAAGGCUUCGUGACACUGGCUUGCUUGUAUAAGAGGAGUUUAUUAUAAAGACAAAACCAGUAUCAAUACAGCACUGCAGUUGCUGUGAGAGGACUGCCAAUGAUGUCCAGCUCUCCCAAACCAGAGUUUGUGAUCCUGUUAUAUAGGGUCAGAGAUGUAGGUCCUCCUACAUCUCCCAAGGUAUCUUUGUUACCAUCUUUUUUUUUUAGCCUGGAAUUGAGACCUGUGUCCUGUGACCUGUGACCUGCAAACAUGCAACCUCCAGGAUAUCUGACCCAGGUACCAUAAAUGAGACACAAAGAGACACAAGCCCACAUUCCACAAUUGGUCAUCUCAGGCUCAGGCUGAGAAAUACCUCAAGGCACUGCAUAUUGGCGCAGUACUCCAUAUACCACGUAUUUCCCCCUUUGAGACUCCAUAGAGUCUCAAAAUAGGAAAAUACAUGUUUAUAAUUUCAAUUUACCACUAAAUUUUGGAGUGUGAGAGCGAAAACCUGUCAGGCAGCUAUUUUUCUAUUAUUAUCCAUCAAACAAUCAUUAUGAGUGAGGGAGAAAGAGGAGGAAAAGCUGAGAGAGACGCCGCAGCAGCCAGGAGAGGCGAGGGCUGAGCAGUGAUCCUUCAAGUUGUCUGGUCAUUCUGUUGGCCCUUUAGCUGCAGAUCAUCGGUAUGUCAAACAGCUGAGAGGGAGAAUCAGGCAUGAGGAGGUCACCCUGUGAAGUGUGCAUGACAUCUGUCUCCUAAGGAAGACAAGAGAGUGUCAUCUUGUGAGAAAACUACUUCAUUAGUAAUUAGAAAGACUUUUGGAUGCACCUCAGCUGUCUUUGUCUGCGUUUUCAUAAUCUCAAACUUCUCCCUCUCCUCCAGCCGUAUGGGUCUGUGAUGUCAUCAACAACAUGACUUUUGAUUGGCCAGAGGUCUAGCAGGUCCAGAUAUUCGCCUGCGAAUAUCCAAAAAAUUCGAGACAGGAGCGAAAAAAUAAAAGCGGCUUUUCGCCCCGCGGAAAAAUCGCCGCCGGUGUGGAAGCUUGCAUUGACUUUAUGCUGUUUUAAAAAAAGGCGAAUAAUUCGCUUGGUGAAUUCUCGCCUGGUGUGUAAGGACCUUUAGAAGGAGAAAACAAAUAAAAUACCUGGGAUCCCAAUACAUUCACUUUACAACUUAGGCUAUGAAUCACUAACCAACCUUCCAUACUUUUCAUUCUUCCUAUACUGUCUGGUAUUGACAUGUACAUUGAAAUACAACACACAGAGAUAAAUUGACAUUCAUAUCACAGAUUACACACUAACAAAACACCACUCUUAGAAAAUGAAUAAUAAUUGUUGCUUCUGAACGUUCUUGGUUGCUUGUGUAGUGUUCUUUCAGUGGGGUUUUCCGUGUUUGGGUAUCCAAUGCAAUGUCCUUGUUCACAUCCACUGUCAGGUUUCAGUUUCUGUUUCCAUUGUCCAUGCUUGAUUGUUCUUGUUGGGAUGUGUGGGUCAGUUCAAGCUGUCUAGAUCUCUGGAGAACCACCUUUCUUUAGCUGGUCUCCCCAAAUGCUAUCCUGGGGAUGAAAAAAAAUCAAGCAGUAUCUUGCAAAAAAACAUACAUUUUUGUUUGUUUGACCUAUUUAUCCUAUUUCCCCCCCCAAGUAAUACUCCCCCUGUCAUACCAUCAAAUUUAAAUCUGUGUGCUGUCCAGUCUUACCCAGAAGGUUUUUUUAUCACCCCAUUAAUUUUUUUCAUUGAUACCUUGGCUUUGCGGAUGGUACACAGCUCCCAAACAUUGUUUAAUUCCCAGUUUUUGUAAAUCAAUUGCACUGUUUUAUCCACACACUCUUCUCCAUAAUCUGGAAGUCCCCAUCUGCUUAUGACCUCCCGACACAAGAACUUGGCAACAUACUGAGCAUUCUUCUGCUUGGUUGGACAAGCUUCAACCAUUAGACCUCUCUGAACAAUAUAUUUUAGAUAGAUUGCACACCUACUGAUGUCAUAAUCAAUUUGCUCACACAAAUGUGGUGCCCAAAAACCAUACUAUGAUGUUUCUUUUACCUUCCCCCCUUGCAUCAUUGGCUAACCCUGUGCCUCCUGAAUCGUUCUUUUUCAACAAAUAAUCAAUGUCCUUGACAAGAACCAUCUUUUACUUACUUAUCAAAAACUUUCUUACUGUCUCCCUUCACUCAUCCUCUGAUAGAGCUCUCUCCUAACCAAUAAGAGUCUCUGGUAUACUGGUGUUGUGUCUGGGCUGUCCUCGAUGUGUAGAUGCAGAAGGAGGCUUCGUGACACUGGCUUGCUUGUAUGACCCUGUUAUAUACAGUUAGGGAUGUAAGCCCUCCUACAUUCCCAAAUUAUGUUUCCUUACCAUCUUGUGUUUGGUAAACCUAGAGUGGUGUUUUAUGACCUGUGGCCUGUGACCAGUGAAGUGCCCCUCCCAGGCUAUCUCACCCCAGGUAUCACUAAUAAUAAACAGAUAAACACAAGCCCACAGUCCACAACUGGUUUCUCAGGCUAUUCCUGAGAAAUACCUUAAGGCAAUGCAUAGUGAUGUAGUACUCCAGAUACCACAUAUUUCCCCCCUUCGAGACUCCAUAGAGUCUCGAAAAAGGCAAAGAAAUGUUACAAUUUCUAUUUACUAUUAAAAUUUGGAGUGUGAGAGCGAAAACCUGUCAGGCAGCUAUCGUUCCAUUAGUAUCCAUCAGACAAUCUAGACAGGAAAAAGUCACUCACGGUCCCUCUGCCCUAGGCGACCACCUAUUGUACUCCAAUCCAAUUGAAAGGUAAGGGUUAAACUUUAUGUGGAAAUAAUGUUUGGCGCAAAUAUUCUUGGGAAUCUCAGAAAUAAAAUUUAAAUUAUCCACAGUCAAGCUGGUCUUCCCAUCGGACCUUCCGUGGACCUAUCCCUGCCUAACACCACUGAUCCUAAACACGAGAAACCAAAGAAAACACCUGAGAUCCCAAUACAUUCACUUUACAACUUAGGCAAUGAAUAACUAACCCUCCCUUCAUACUUUCCAUUCUUCCUAUGCUGUUUGGUAUUUGCAUGACCAUUAAAAUACAACACAGAGAGAGAAAAAUUGACAUUCAUAUCCCAGAUUAUACAUUAACAAACUCUAUGAUUAAAAUGAAUAAUAAUUUUUGGUCCUUAACAUCUUCGGCUGCUUGUGUAGUGUUCUUGUCCAUGGGUGUUCUCCGUUUGUGUAUCCAAUGCAAUGUCCUUGUUCACAUCCUCUGUCAGGUUUCAAUUGUGUUUACAUUGUCCAUGUUUGAUUGUCUUGUUGGGAGGUGUGGAUCCAUUAAGGCUGUUUAGAUCUCUGGAGAACCACCUUUCUUUCGCUGGUUUCCCCAACUGC